rnacentral:rRNA from 1 species
AACGAACGCUGGCGGCAUGCCUAACACAUGCAAGUCGAACGAGACCUUCGGGUCUAGUGGCUCCCGGGUUCGUAACGCGUUGGAACCUGCCCUUAUGUUCGGCCUAACUCCCCGAAAUGGGUGCUAAUACCUGAUACUGUUUUCGGACCAAAGAUUUAUCGCCUUUGGAUGUGCCCGCGUUGGAUUAGCUAGUUGUUAGGUUACAAGCCUACCAAGGCGACGAUCCAUAGCUGGUCUGAGAGGAUGAUCAGCCACACUGGGACUGAGACACGGCACAGACUCCUACGGGAGGCAGCAGUGGGGAAUAUUGGACAAUGGGCGAAAGCCUGAUCCAGCAAGGCCGCGUGAGUGAUGAAGGCCUUAGGGUUGUAAAGCUCUUUUAACCGGGAUGAUAAUGACAGUACCGGGAGAAUAAGCUCCGGCUAACUCCGUG